GGCGUUGCCAUGGCCACACUAUCUGUUAGGGCCGCAAAUGCCAAGGAGUCUGCACCAGGCCUUUUCAGCCUGGAGCUUGUUAAGGGACCUGGCUCCAGAUGACACUGAGACCUAAUUAUAUGAGCACCCACCAUGAACCGAAAGAAGCUACAGAAGUUGACGGACACCUUAACUAAAAGUUGCAAGCAUUUUAAUAAAUUUGAAGUGAACUGUCUUAUUACGCUUUUCUAUAACUUGGUGGGAGAUGUAGCAGAAAGACCAGGAGUAGUCAUUGGACUAGAUCGUAAUGCAUUUCGGAACAUCCUGCAUGUGACAUUUGGAAUGACAGAUGACAUGAUUAUGGACAGAGUAUUUCGAGGUUUUGAUAAAGACAAUGAUGGCUGUGUAAAUGUAUCUGAGUGGAUUCAUGGAUUAUCACUGUUUCUUCGAGGGACUUUAGAAGAAAAAAUGAAAUAUUGUUUUGAAGUGUUUGAUCUGAAUGGUGACGGCUUCAUUUCAAAGGAAGAGAUGUUCCACAUGCUGAAGAACAGUCUUCUCAAGCAGCCCUCUGAGGAGGACCCUGAUGAAGGAAUUAAAGAUUUGGUUGAAAUUACUCUUAAGAAAAUGGACCAAGACCAUGAUGGGAAGUUGUCCUUUGCAGACUAUGAGAAUGCUGUGAGAGAAGAGACCCUUCUGCUGGAAGCCUUUGGGCCAUGCCUGCCUGAUCCAAAGGUGGUACCUCUAUACCAUCAGUAAACCAGGCCGUAGUUUCUUCUUCUUCAGUCAAGUCAUCAUGGGACACACCACAUGAGUCUACAGAGCCAGAUGGAAUUUGAAGCUCAAGUAUUCAAAGACCCAAAUGAUUUCAAUGAUAUGUGAAUUCGUAAAUGUACUGUUUUGAGGAAGUACAAAAGAAGCACAUUAAGUUCAUCUGUUCUUCUCAGUUCAGGAGAUGCUAUGGUGAGAUUCGGAUCAUUUGUAUGUAUUCUAGUUCAGGCCUUCUUCAGAGAUGCUAGAUUUGGCAAGAGACGUUGACAUUGCUAGAGCAUUUUACCACAUGGACUCUCUUAAGACACAUACCUGUCAUAAACCUCCAGAUUAAUCAAA